rnacentral:rRNA from 1 species
UACAGGGGGGGCAAGCGUUGUUCGGAAUUACUGGGCGUAAAGGGCUCGUAGGCGGCCAACUAAGUCACACGUGAAAUCCCCAGGCUCAACCUGGGAACUGCGUGUGAUACUGGAUGGCUUGAAUUCGGGAGAGGGAUGCAGAAUUCCAGGUGUAGCGGUGAAAUGCGUAGAUAUCUGGAGGAAUACCGGUGGCGAAGGCGGGUCUCUGGGCCGAUACUGACGCUGAGGAGCGAAAGCGUGGGGAGCGAACAGG